rnacentral:rRNA from 1 species
UACGUAGGUCGCGAGCGUUGUCCGGAAUUAUUGGGCGUAAAGAGCUCGUAGGCGGCUUGUCACGUCGGGUGUGAAAGACCGGGGCUUAACUCCGGUUCUGCAUUCGAUACGGGCUAGCUAGAGUGUGGUAGGGGAGAGCGGAAUUCCUGGUGUAGCGGUGAAAUGCGCAGAUAUCAGGAGGAACACCGGUGGCGAAGGCGGAUCUCUGGGCCAUUACUGACGCUGAUGCACGAAAGCUAGGGGAGCAAACAGG